UGUUUAAUUGGAAGUAACAUGUGCUAUAUGCCCAGAGCCAUAUUAGUUAAUCCACUGUGUGCCCUAUAUACACCUCAACCCAAGCCCUGUGCCUGGUUGGUAUUAUGAAUGGGACAACAUGG
rnacentral:snoRNA from 1 species